rnacentral:tmRNA from 1 species
GGGGCAGACCGGUUUUGACAGCAAGAGAUGUUAAUCCGUAAGCAUGUCGAGCAUUGUAUUUUAGCUCGUUAAAACUAAUUUACAAACUUUUUAAAUGGCGAGUAUAACUACGCUAUGGCUGCCUAAUUAUAGUAAUUAGAAGCCUUUGCUUUAAAUCACAGAAAGCUCAAAGCUAUGAUUUUUGAAAGCAUCAGAUAAAGAUUGAGCUAGUUUUUUAGUUCUUCGACUAAAAAAUAAAACUUUAGAAGAUAAGGUAUUGAUUAGGUUGUGUUUUCCCUUUCCUUGCCCGACAAUUAAAAAACAAUAAACAUGUAGAAAUCGCUUAAACACCUUGUUUGGACGUGGGUUCGAUUCCCACCUGCUCCACAU